AAAAGAAGAAGAAGAGAAGAAGAAGAGGGAAGAGGGAGAGCUCGAGUCGGCUUUUAUGACAGACGGGGGUUGCGUCCAUCUAGGACACAACGAAGGAGGCCAGAGGCGCAGCGGAGGCCGGCGAGCUCGAUGGAAGAGACGGCGGAAACUCCGGCAGCAUCAGGUGGCAGCAAAUAGGCGAAAAAGCCAGCAGCUUCUCGCCGUCAUUUAGGUCGACUCCGACAUCCAUUUUGGGUGGUUCUGGUCUCAAAAUGACAAGUAACCAUUAAGCUUUCAUCUUUGCCCAUUAUCUCCCCUUGUGGU
rnacentral:lncRNA from 1 species